CUGCAGUUUACAGCAGCAGGAAGAAGACACCGGAGAGCCACCAGAGGAAGAAAGAAAGGGAAAUAAUGUGAUAAACGACUACCAAGGAGAAGGAAGAGGAGGAGGAGGAGGAGGAGAAACGAGGAAGGAAGUGAGGAAGAGUAGGGAGAAGAGAUGAGGACUGAAAGAUGAGAACAGAGGAUGUAAGGGAGAGAGAGAGAGAGAGAGAGGUGGCUUUUCAAUGGGAGGGGUAAAGAAGGAGGUAUAGAGACAGAGGAAUGCAGAGGAAAGAGGGACGGACACACUACUGCUCCUGCACGAGAGGAUGUCGGCUGCAGCUGUAUGUGGAGCUCUGGGUUAAAAUGGGCCAAAGCCAUCCUCUUCCUCCUCUUCACCGUGCUUCACCAAGGGUGGAGCUUAGCCCUCCACACCCACAGAGCUGAAGAGAGACAGGUGAAAUGAAGAUAACAUUACUCGACUGGCUGGUGGCUGACACUCAGUGUGUUUUGCUAUCAGUGUUUCAGCCGACACAGCCUGAUGAGAGCAAAUAAAUCAGAGGAAACAACAAAAAAAGAAAAGUGAAAUAGAUUGUUUCAUUCGUUUGAUCAACUGGUUGAAGGUAAAGGAAAAGAAGAAGACAUUGGACAAACUUCUUUUUACAUUUUUAUUUGAAAUAACAGUCUUGCUUAUUAAGGUAUUUUCUUACGUUUUCGACUGCUGUUUUCUGCCUCGCAAAUACCUUCAAAUGACUCGCUUUGUCUGAUCAACUAUCCAAAAUCAAUCAUCUACAACCUAAAACAUUAAAGAGAUUCAUGUCUUAGGGUUCCCCCACCUGCCAACUCUCAUCCUAACCCCUGUAACCUCUAACCUAUAAUCACGGGGUGUAAACAAAAAGUGACACAGUGGUGGUAGAACAAAAAAAAAAAAAA